rnacentral:rRNA from 1 species
GGUGAGUAACACGUGGAUAAUCUACCCGAUGGACCGGGAUAACACUUCGAAAGGGGUGCUAAUACCGGAUAAGCCCACAGGCUCCCUGGAGCUUGCGGGAAAAGGUGGGGACCUUCGGGCCUGCCGUCAUCGGAUGAGUCCGCGGCCCAUUAGCUAGUUGGUGGGGUAACGGCCCACCAAGGCGACGAUGGGUAGCUGGUCUGAGAGGAUGAUCAGCCACACUGGAACUGAGACACGGUCCAGACUCCUACGGGAGGCAGCAGUGGGGAAUUUUGCGCAAUGGGGGAAACCCUGACGCAGCAACGCCGCGUGAGUGAUGAAGGCUUUCGGGUCGUAAAGCUCUGUCAGAGGGGAAGAAACUGUUGUGGUCGAACAGGCCGCAAGACUGACGGUACCCUCAAAGGAAGCACCGGCUAACUCCGUGCCAGCAGCCGCGGUAAUACGGAGGGUGCAAGCGUUGUUCGGAAUUAUUGGGCGUAAAGCGCGUGUAGGCGGUUCGUUAAGUCUGAUGUGAAAGCCCGGGGCUCAACCCCGGAAGUGCAUUGGAUACUGGCGGACUUGAGUACGGGAGAGGGAAGUGGAAUUCCGAGUGUAGGGGUGAAAUCCGUAGAUAUUCGGAGGAACACCGGUGGCGAAGGCGGCUUCCUGGACCGAUACUGACGCUGAGACGCGAAAGCGUGGGGAGCAAACA